rnacentral:lncRNA from 1 species
GGGCCCUCCUGGGUGGCGAGACCCUGGAAGAUGCAGCCGAGCCACGCGAACAUGGAGAGGCGGCAGUGCUUGAGCUCCUUGAUCUUGAGCUCCUCGAGGUCACCGGACUCGGCGAGGCCGAGGGGGUCGAAGCGGCCACCGGGGGACACGUCACCGACGGUGAGCUCGUCGAAGACGGGGUCGGAGAGGCCGGUGCGGUAAGCCUCGGCGAGGCCGACGAGGACGACCUCGAUGGCGAGGACGGCCCAGAAGGAGGGGUAGCCGGAGCCCUCGGGGGCGAGGGGAGCGACGGCGCCGGGGAACUUGUCCGCGACGGCGGUGCAGUCGUCGGGGGUGCAGAGGGUACCGGCGGUGAACCAGGGGAUGCCGGUGCCGUUCUCGGCGGCCCAGGCACCGGUCACGCCGAGCAUCGCCCAGCGGCCGUGGAUGACCUCACGCUCGGCGUUCUUCUCGGAGCCGAAGGGGAUGAUGGGGGACUCGCCGCCACCGGGGUAGGUGCCGAACUCGGGGUAGAUGUCGGCCUUGAUGACCUUGGACACAGACUUGGCCUGAAGAGAAGGGGCGGGGAGAGGGAGGCGCCGAUCAGUCUCGCUUCUUCGGGUUCGGCGACGUUCGGGAUGUUAUCUCGGCCAAGCGGGUGACGAUUUUCCGCGGCUUCGAGCCGACGCGGUAAACGUGGCGUGAACUUCGCGCGAUAUCGUAUCGCGACACGCAAACGCUCAAACACGCGCGAUGCGCACGUCAGGAGUUAAAUCGAGACGAGCGGCGGACGCGAUGCGCGCGAACGGCGCGCCAUCGCGCCUCCGCGACGCGAUCAAAACGUUCCGAUGAAGGAUGAUGAGCUGGUAAAUUUACCGACGACCGCUUCGGACCGCCGGAAAACGCGUGACAGAGGGUAGAUGCGCACCUGGAUC